rnacentral:rRNA from 1 species
UACGUAGGGACCGAGCGUUGUCCGGAUUCAUUGGGCGUAAAGAGCUCGUAGGCGGCUGUUCAAGUCGAACGUGAAAACUCGGAGCUCAACUCCGAGCCUGCGUUCGAUACUGGACGGCUAGAGUCUGGUAGGGGGAUCUGGAAUUCCUGGUGUAGCGGUGAAAUGCGCAGAUAUCAGGAGGAACACCGGUGGCGAAGGCGGGUCUCUGGGCCGUUGCUGACGCUGAGGCGCGAAAGCGUGGGGAGCAAACAGG